rnacentral:rRNA from 1 species
CCCUACGGGGGGCAGCAGUGAGGAAUAUUGGUCAAUGGACGCAAGUCUGAACCAGCCAUGCCGCGUGCAGGAUGACGGCUCUAUGAGUUGUAAACUGCUUUUGUACGAGGGUAAACCCCGAUACGUGUAUCGGGUUGAAAGUAUCGUACGAAUAAGGAUCGGCUAACUCCGUGCCAGCAGCCGCGGUAAUACGGAGGAUCCGAGCGUUAUCCGGAUUUAUUGGGUUUAAAGGGUGCGUAGGCGGUUUGGUAAGUUAGAGGUGAAAUGUCGGGGCUCAACCCCGAAACUGC